AUGAGCCAACUGCUUUGGCUCCAAGCCCGAGAAACACCCUGCUUCAAGAAUAAAAUUGCACCUCUCAUGCCAACAGUUCAGACCACAUGGAAAUUUUCCACUUGGAAAUUCACACGUUGUUUCCUCUUGGUUUAUCAGUAGGCAGAAGGUAAGAAGACAAAUUAGCUUGCCUUGGGUUUAUCUCUCAGUUACUACAUGGAGGGAGGGGGGAAACUGGUUUAACCUUGGCUGCUUGAUAGUGGAUCUGAAAGUCUAGUAUUGCAUGAGAAGUCCCUGCUAGAUAAAAUGUAAUAUUGGGGUCCCAUCUCCAGUGACUGUGGUUUAGUAGUUCCGGGUGGGCCUUGGCAGUAUACGUUUUUGAGCAAGCA
rnacentral:lncRNA from 1 species